UUCAGUGCCGCGUUUUCUUUUGAUUUUUUUUUUCGGGCCCUGUGGCCUAUUACAGUAGCUUGUAUACCGUGGUAGUCGCGAGUACUGAGAACAGGACUUAAUAGGAAACACAGGGCUAAAACCAAGGACUGUGCGAGGCUUUUCAGUAUCACGGAAUGAGAAAGGAAGCAGGCAUUCGUAUAUGGCUCAAGUGUGUCCAAACCUUUUCCUCUGCUCGGCAUGAUUUUACCCUUCUCGAGUGACGACAGCGUGUGGUCGAAAAGGACUUUAUAUCAGUUUCAGAAAGAACUAGAGCUUCUGCAGGCACACGCAAGGGAAGGAAUAUAAAGUGUACUACGUACAUCAACUCCUGAAGGGUAUUAAUAUGCACACACUGAGAAGAAACCACAGAGAGUGAAGGACUGUCCGUCAUGUUAGGUCACUGACGCUUGCUGCCGGGAAACUCACUAAGCUGCAUCACAAGAUAAUGAAUGACCCCAAGAAAUAGGUAACGGAAAACCGAAAACCCUUGGGGCCCUUAUACAGAAGUCGCAAGCCAGCAACCUGGUCGUGACAGUCCAGUCGAGAUCGUUCAGACCACCAAAUCCGCCCACUUUUGCAUUCAGACAGGCCCAAACACAAUUAUUUUUU